rnacentral:rRNA from 1 species
UACGUAGGGAGCGAGCGUUGUCCGGAAUUACUGGGUGUAAAGGGAGCGUAGGCGGGAUCGCAAGUCAGAUGUGAAAACUAUGGGCUUAACCCAUAAACUGCAUUUGAAACUGUGGUUCUUGAGUGAAGUAGAGGUAAGCGGAAUUCCUAGUGUAGCGGUGAAAUGCGUAGAUAUUAGGAGGAACAUCAGUGGCGAAGGCGGCUUACUGGGCUUUAACUGACGCUGAGGCUCGAAAGCGUGGGGAGCAAACAGGAUUAGAUACCCUGGUAGUCCACGCCGUAAACGAUGAUUACUAGGUGUGGGGGGACUGACCCCUUCCGUGCCGCAGCAAACGCAAUAAGUAAUCCACCUGGGGAGUACGACCGCAAGGUUGAA